UGCUAUGGCUCUGCUUUAUUUGUUAGAUAUCAUGAAACAUGUGUCAGUCACAUCAACACAUUUAAUGCACAUGAAAGCACAAUACAUAUGGAUUGGUAUUCAUGAAGAAAGGCCUUCUGUGCAUUCUGUAACAUGACAGCACAUUUGUGCCACCACGUCACCAAAAUACUCUUUUAUCUCCCACAUUUUCAUUAUGGAUAGACCAUGGCAAAAGCAAGCUGUAGGCUGCCAGGAUCCUUCAUGUGGCUUGCAGUUUGCUAUCUGUCCAUACCUGGAAAGCAAGGGGCCACCUACAAGCUUGUAUUUUUAUCAUCUCGGAAUGGCAGAGCAUGCAUCCACAUUGGAAGAUGAAAUGAGGGAUCUGUGUGAUAUUUAUUAUAGCCCUGGAUUCUCUUUUGGAUCUAAAAGUACUGACCCGUUGUUAUUCUCAACGUGACAAAAUGGCUACAGAACUCUAAGUUAUUGCCUCAGGCAAACCAGUACAUACCAUGCAGAACUUUAACUAUGCUCAGUAAAUCAUGGCUAUGAACAAAACUGAGUAGAUUUCUGCACUGUCACACAGAGUGACUUCUAAGAACUUUGUUCAGUUCCCAUAUGCAAUUAAAUUCCCUCCAAACUAUGACUGCAGUUUCAUAUAAUUAGGAGACAUGUUUUAGACUGCCAAUGUUAAACACUGCAGCCACAUUAGUAAUGCUAGGAACCUAAAGACCUGGAUCUGGCAUUACAGCAAAAGGCAGCAGACUACCUGAGAGAGAACAAAAACAUAGUACAGAUAUGAUAUAUCUGGCUGAGUCAAGGGUGCUUGACUCACCCUUGCAAGAUGUCUCAUCAGUAGUGGUGUCAAACAGACAACAGCUGGAUGAUUUGGUCACUGCAAGGGGUUCUUGCAGACACCAGUAAUUUGUCAGUCAGAAAAGAAAGCGUCUCAGUACUAAUGCAGGCUCUGAAUUUGUAAGGACAACAAGCCCCAGGCUCUGUACUGGCAUUUUUUAGAUACCAGGUCUAAAUCCAAAACACCUUUCCCCAUAUUUCUAGUCAGAACUCUACGUUUCCAGACUGGACACACCGCACAGUCUGCUAUCAAAGACGGAGAGGCACUUCCAAUUUCACCCAGAAACACUUCUCUUACCACUCCAUCUCUACCUUGCACUUACCAAAAGGCACUCCCCAGCCUCCAGAGGCGGUGCGCAAAGAGCGCUCAUACCUUGACAGCUCCGGUAAACAUAAACACAUAAGCGCAGGGCCUACAGGCAGAUGAAGGAGACCCACACCGUGUGUCAGCCCCUCACCCUCGAACGCACACCCCGAUCCUGACGGAUCGCCCUCAGCCUGCGGGGCCGGCCCCGCGGCGCCGCAC
rnacentral:lncRNA from 1 species